rnacentral:misc_RNA from 1 species
AUUUCCCAGUCUUCAUAUAGAAUGCACAUGUGGGUUCAGAAGGCCUCUCUGGUAACACAGAAACAUCUGUGUUUUCCAAACCAUCCUGAAACGUAGCCAACUUAUCAUUUGGAUGAUUAAAUUUGCAUUUCGAACCAUACUUGCACCUUUGAGUUUUUAGAAAGUAAGGGCAAUCAGGCUGUCCUAGUCUCUCAGGAAGGGAUUCAAUUGUGGCAACAAGAGGGACCUCUUUCCAAUUUGGGAUUCCACCCUCAGGAACCCAAAUAGGAUGGUCAAACUUGCAGCUAUCUCCAAAUUUACAGGUACGUGUGAGCAUAUAGUGGGCACAGUCCUUCUCUCCUGGUCUCUGUGGAUAUAUAGGCAAAUUGCUUGCGCUCUCGAAUCUAGAACGCUUUGCUAAAGAGUUGGUAGAAUACCAAGCUUCACUUUGCCCAAUUGAGUUAUGGGCACCGAAAAUAGUCGGAUGAUAGAGCACUUCAGUAGAGCGCUUGAUGCCCGCGAUGAGGGGUUCAACGGCGGCAGAAACAUCGACACCGGGCGGUGGAGUCCACGGCGCCAAAUGCGAAGAGGCGGAGGCAGCUGCCGAAGUAAUGCCUCUGUCGGCCGAGUACCUGAGGGCUUCGCUCUGGGUCAGAUACAUAGAGGUCACCGAGUACUUAGAAGGAUCCGAAUCUGAAAAUGCUCCGAGGUACCGGCCCAUGACCGUUUCAGGAAGAUAUGAGUCGGUAACGGAACGGGGAGUGUAGCCGGCGGCAGCAGCUGAUGAUGGUGGGGCCGCUCCGUAGCUCGAACUAUAGCCGUAGAGUUUAUUUGCCAUAUCGAAACCCUAUGAGAAUCAGAAUUUAUUUGAUCUUUG